UACGUAGGGAGCAAGCGUUGUCCGGAAUCAUUGGGCGUAAAGCGCGCGUAGGCGGCCCUGUAAGUCCGUUGUGAAAGUCAAAGGCUCAACCUUUGAAAGCCGAUGGAUACUGCAGGGCUAGAGUCCGGAAGAGGCGAGUGGAAUUCCCGGUGUAGCGGUGAAAUGCGUAGAUAUCGAGAGGAACACCUGCGGCGAAGGCGAGUUGCUGGGCUGAUACUGACGCUGAUGCGCGAAAGCCAGGGGAGCGAACGGG
rnacentral:rRNA from 1 species